GUAGUCAUAUGCUUGUCUCAAAGAUUAAGCCAUGCAUGUCUAAGUAUAAGCACUCAUACUGUGAAACUGCGAAUGGCUCAUUAAAUCAGUUAUCGUCUAUUUGAUAGUACCUUUACCUGGAUAACCGUGGUAAUUCUAGAGCUAAUACAUGCUAAAAAUCCCGACUUCGGAAGGGAUGUAUUUAUUAGAUAAAAAACCAAUGCCCUCUGGGCUCCUUGGUGAUUCAUAAUAACUUAACGAAUCGCAUGGCCUUGCGCCGGCGAUGGUUCAUUCAAAUUUCUGCCCUAUCAACUUUCGAUGGUAGCGUAGUGGGCUACCAUGGUCUCAACGGGUAACGGGGAAU
rnacentral:rRNA from 1 species